rnacentral:lncRNA from 1 species
UGAAUUGAAUUAUAUAAUUAAUGAUGACCAGAGGUGAAAGUUUUAGAAGAAUAAUUAAAAAUUUCAUGAAUCCGACUACGUCACACUACCCGGAGCGAAAUUGUUUGAAAACGUCACUUCCGUAAAAUCGCCAUCACUUUUGGUACCGCUUGCAAACCGAGCAUCUCAGGUCUCAAAACAAUAAAUUCGAAUGCUUUUCGUUUAAAUUUCUUUGCUCUAUUUGAAAUAUUUUGGGUUUACAUGAGUGUAAUUUAAUUUGUAAACAAACUGUAUAACAGUGUAGUAAAUUCUGGUAUUAUUUCUCUUCGGUGUAAUGUGAACAUAGUCUCAGUCAACUCAAUAAGCUCAGUCAACUCAAUAAGCUAAGCCUAGGGAAGUCUAUAUUAUUCAGAAUCUUCAUUCUUCAAAGUUCUGUCAUUGACUUCAAUGUCAAAGACAACAGGUUUAUUAACUGGUCUACACAGUUUCUGUUUUAUCCUGACUGAUAUUUCUACAGCUUUACAUCUCAAUAUGUUUGUUGUUGCUGGCAUAUUUAGUGGAUUCCCAUGUAUGUUUUAUCUCAGCACAGUCCUAGUAUACAUCUUGGCUUGUAUCUCAACCCGUAAACAAAAGUUGUCGUUCAUAGCUGAAAACUCAAAAUCAGAAACACGUAUGUUGAAGAUUCGUUUGAAAAAUCAAAAGCGUUUCAUAACCACCGUACUUCUAGUGAACCUAGUGCUC